rnacentral:rRNA from 1 species
AUUGAACGCUGGCGGCCGGCCUAACACAUGCAAGUCGAACGAGUGGCGGACGGGUGAGUAAUGUCUGGGAAACUGCCUGAUGGAGGGGGAUAACUACUGGAAACGGUAUCUAAUACCGCAUACCAUCGGAUGUGCCCAGAUGGGAUUAGCUAGUAGGUGGGGUAAAGGCUCACCUAGACGACGAUCCCUAGCUGGUCUGAGAGGAUGACCAGCCACACUGGAACGUAGACACGGGCCAGACUCCUACGUGAGGCAGCAGUGGGGAAUAUUGCAAAAUGGGCGCAAGCCUGAUGCAGCCAUGCCGCGUGUAUGAAGAAGGCCUUCGGGUUGUAAAGUACUUUCAGCGGGGAGGCGUUACCCGCAGAAGAAGCACCGGCUAACUCCGUGCCAGCAGCCGCGGUAAUUC